rnacentral:pre_miRNA from 1 species
GGAUCCCCUAGCCCGUCCACUUUUUCUCCGCUCGCUUGAGACGUCGUGGUCCUCAUUGGGAAGGUACUCCGACUUUCAAGCGAGCGUAGAAAAUCGUCGGAGCUCAUCC